UAUCAGCUCUGAACUAUUAACUGUGUUUCUUUAAAGUAAGACUCAAAUGUGAGUUUAACUUUAAGGUAACUGAACCUUUGUCUCAGAAAUCUUUCAAGGACAGUUGCAUUUUUGUGUAUAGA